rnacentral:rRNA from 1 species
UACGUAGGGCGCAAGCGUUAUCCGGAAUUAUUGGGCGUAAAGAGCUCGUAGGCGGUUUGUCGCGUCUGCCGUGAAAGCCCGGGGCUUAACCCCGGGUCUGCAGUGGAUACGGGCAGGCUAGAGGCAGGUAGGGGAGAACGGAAUUCCCGGUGUAGCGGUGAAAUGCGCAGAUAUCAGGAGGAACACCGAUGGCGAAGGCAGGUCUCUGGGCCAUAACUGACGCUGAGAAGCGAAAGCAUGGGGAGCGAACAGG